AGUGAACGCUGGCGGCGUGCUUAACACAUGCAAGUCGAACGAGAACGGAAUAUAGCUUGCUAUAUUUGUCAGCUAAGUGGCGCACGGGUGAGUAAUGUAUAGAUAACCUGCCCUUAAGAAAGGAAUAACAGUUGGAAACGACUGCUAAUGCCCUAUAUGCCUUAAUACAUAAGUAUGCAAGGGAAACGCUUUAGUGCUUAAGGGUGGGUCUGUAUGGUAUCAGCUUGUUGGUGAGGUAAUGGCUCACCAAGGCUAUGACGCCUAACUGGUUUGAGAGGAUGAUCAGUUACACUGGAACUGAGACACGGUCCAGACUCCUACGGGAGGCAGCAGUGGGGAAUAUUGCACAAUGGACGAAAGUCUGAUGCAGCAACGCCGCGUGGAGGAUGACACAUUUCGGUGCGUAAACUCCUUUUAUAUAGGAAGAUAAUGACGGUACUAUAUGAAUAAGCACCGGCUAACUCCGUGCCAGCAGCCGCCGUAAAAC
rnacentral:rRNA from 1 species